ACUUCAGCCAAAAUUCCAUCUCCAGCCAGUGCUGCGCUAUGUACAAUAUAACUUUGCAUAUUAAGAAAUCUGUUUUUAUUAUUUGUGUAUUUUUGUUGCAGUAAGAUGACUCCUGGCACAUGGAUACUACUGAAAAACAAGGCUGUGCGUCUUUCCAAACAUACGGAUAUGGUGGAUUCUUAUUCUUCUGGAGAACUUUGAGGUUUUCUCUGAAAGUAGAGAAACCCUUCAAGAGGUCCUUCCAAGUGGAGAACAAGCUACGCUUAGCAGCAGUGAGGAGCUUCCAGUUAUCCGACACAUGACAGAAGCUGUGAAAUGGCUCCAUUCCAACAGACAUCUGCUCAGGGGCCCAGUGGAAGAGCCUCUUUUCCUUACAAUGGAUGAAGAGGGCAAGGAAAAGGCCCUCAACAAUCUCCUGGAACAAUCAGAAGCUUCCAAAGAGCCCUUCACCUUUCAUUUUGUGUUCAGUGAUGACAUGGAGUUAUUUUUACAGGAAUGUCAUGAUAAA